CUAUCUGAAGAAGGACGUCCUUCUCCUUGGCGGUGUGAUGCAAAGGGCGCAGGAGAUAUUUUGGGAGGUAUACGA
rnacentral:tRNA from 1 species